GAAAAAUGUUGAUUAAAACCAAAGUUAUAACGUCUCAAAAUUAAAAAAGUCUCCCAAACCCGAAAAUGUGUUUACAUAUUUUAGGAGAUCGGUGUGUUCAAGGGUUAAUAAAUAAUGCUAACAAGUUUCUAAAUGUAACAAUCUUUUCUCCUCUAAAAAAAUGUAAAGAAUUUAUUAUAAAAAAAUAACACCUCAACCAGGGAUUGAACUUCGGAUCUAGCUAUGACCAGUUUAUUGUGUUUUUACAUUUUGGUCAAAGUUCUCUAUUUAUAAUCACAUUGUUUUAUUUUAUUGGUUUUAAUGUUGAACUAAACUAAAUAAGCGUCACAUCCCACACAGCGCAGAUUUCCUAAAGACGUCCACUGAACGUAUGAACGUCCAAUGGACGUUUUUAGGAGAUCUGUGCUGUGUGAGAUUAUUGCUUAAAAAAAUAUUUUUUUUUAAUUCUCUCAUUUUUAUAUUAAUAUUCUUUAUUGUGUUCUAUAAAAUUUAUUCUGUAAGAAAUAUUCUAUAUUCAGUAAUAAAUCCUUAUAAAUAAAUAAUUUCUUAUUCAGUAGUAAAUAUUUUAUAGUAAUAUUUUAAAAUAAAUUUUAUAGGUGUUCAAUCACUUCAAACUAAUAAUACUAAAAUAAUUGAAAUCAAAUUGUACAUGCACACAUAGCUUUAUAAGAAGCAUAGAUCAUUUGAGUGAUUUAUUGAAAGAAUGUGGAAAGGAUAGUGAUUUGGAAAAACUGAAGCUGCAUAGAACAAAAACUUCCAAAUUAAUACUGAAAGUCAUAUCUCUGGCAAUAUUAAAAGAAAUUAUUGAAGGUAUUGGAAAUGAGCCUUUUUCAAUAAUAUUAGAUGAGUCUACUGAUGUAUCCGAUUUUAAAUAUAUGGCAUAUUGUGUUUAAUUAUUUUAAUAAAAGACAGAAUACAUUCGCAGUAGAUUUUCUUGGUUUCAGCAAAAUAUUUGAAGCCACUGCCGAGAAACUUUACAAACAUUUCAUAGAAUUUAUGUCUGAAGUAGGACUAAACCACAAAAAAUUUGGUUGGCGUGGGAACGGAUGGUGUGAGCAUUCUUUGCGGGAAGAAUCAUAGCUUAUACGUUAUUAAAAAAUAAGAUUCCACAUUUACAAUUGAUACAAUGCAUUUACCACUCGCUAAAUCUAUGUGCUUCCAACGUAAGUGACGAAUUACCAUGUACAGUUGAGUAUUUAUUACAAAAGACGAGAAAAUAGUUCUCUCACAGUCCUCUUCGUCAAAUGAGGUACAGCAAGAUAUAUCAAUUGAUUAAUGCUGGAAAACAGCCACCUAAAUUGAUUCAGUUAUCCUCGACGGGUUGGCUUGCAUAGAAUAUUUCUACAAAUAUUAAACAAUGGCAAAAGCUGAAACAACACUUUCAAUUAACUACAAAAUCCCAAGAUGAUAAAUGUUAUACAGCAACACAGAACGCUUGUACAAAUGUACGAAGAUGAUAGUAAUUUACUAUACUUGCUUUUUUUAGAUAGAAUUUUAAAAGACUACUAAUGUAAAUCUUGCAUUUCAACAAACAAAUGCUGAUAUCACAAAAUUGUAUACCGAUUUAUACAUGCUAUUAAUGUUAUUGGUAAAGAGAAUCAUAAAAUCUUAUUUAAAACAUAGUGAAAUGGCUUUUUAUUCUAUGCUGUAUCAAGCAGACAUAGAAAAUAUACAGAGCGCACUAAAAAAGGUGCAUCAAAAUUUUAAAAAUUCUCUUCUUUCCCUCAAAUUGGUAGACUUCGGAUAUCGAUUUGAAUCGUAUGCUACAAAGAAGACUAUUUCACAAACGUCUUUAAAACUUGUUCGAGAAAGAUGUGUAGCUUACACGAUUCGCCUUUGCAACAAACUUAUAAUAAGAUUACCACGCAAUCUUCCAACAGUAGAAAGUUAUCUGGCACCCGGAAUGUGUCUAAGCCAAAUAAAUACAUACAAAAAUUUACCAUGGGAGUUAGCAGGUAUAUUUUGUUUAUGGUGUUGAUACAAUUAUGAUUAUUAUAAUGAUUAUGCAUCUAUAAAUCAAGUCUAUAUAUAUUGUUAAAUAUUAUUUUUUAGGAAAAGAUCUUGAUCGAGAUGCCAUCAAGUCUCAAUUUCGUCGAUUGCAGACUAAGAAUCCACAAAAUUUCUCCAAAUUUUAAUAAUGUUGAAAUAGGAAAUAUUAAAAUGGUAGAUUUUUAGGUAGCUGUUAGAAAAAUGACUAACUCAAAUGACGUAAAAUGUUUUGAGGACUUGGCAGAACUUGCUUUUCGUGCUUUCUUUGCUGAUCAGCAAUGCAAUCGUAGAAUGUGUUUUCAGCAUAAUAGCAGUGAUUAAAACAAAAUGAAGAAAUCGUUUGUCGAUGCCUAUGCUGGUUAGUUUUAUGUGCAUUCGCUUAUACAUGAAUUUCUUAAUCUGUGCUGUAAAAGUUACUGCCCAACACCAUAUAUGUUACAAUUAUUUAACAGCAACAUGUACAUAGUAGACAUAUAAACAAACAGAAUCUUCCAACAAUUCUGAUGAUUGGGAUCUUUUAGAGUCAUUAAAUCUUAUCAAAUCAGCAGAAUCAACAAUUGAUUCAUAAAAAGCAGUGAUGAGUAAAAUUUUUUCACCCAAGGAAUGGAGAACUUAACAUAAUAUCAAUUUGAUCUUUCUGUUUUUCGGGUGUAAGUAUUUCCGUGUAUUUUAUAUUAUAUUUGUAAUAAUACAUUUUAUAUAAAAUUAUUAGGAAAAAUGUUCUAGUGAUGGUACAUACAACUGAACACAUAUUUUAAAUGUUAAAUUUUUUAUAAUUCUCUCAUUUUUCUCUCUUAUGGUAAUUUUCUCUCAUACGGAGACAAGUAUUUUCUGUUUUAAAUCUCAAAUCUAAUUAUUAGUAACGCUCGACUACUAAUUAUUAUUCGCUCAACAGCACUAGCUAUUGCUAGCACCAACAGUUAAGAGUAUUUAAAAAAAACUGUUAAAGUAAUAUAAAUCUAAAAUAAUAAGUUUUUUUUUUAAUAUAAUUCUUAAGCAAGAUGUUUAUUCAAAUUUCGUACAAAAAUUUCCAAUUUUCCAGGAAUUUUAUUUCCAGAUAAGACUAGAAAAUUUUUUGUCUUCAAAUUUAUUAGAAACUUGUGUUGGUUACUUUUCAAGCGUUUACAUUUCAAAAUCGGCUUCUUUAGGCUACUUGAGCGCCAUCGUUCGGCGACUUUUCAUAAUAAAUAUCUGGCAACACUGUACAUGAUACGGACCAUUUAAAGUUUAGUCAAUAUGUUACAUUUAGGAAAGAUAGACUAGUAAAUUCCCAGAGGAAAGGAAAUUAUAUGCAAGGGUUAUCUUAACCUUAAUGUAUAUAAUAUUUCAGACAUAACAAACCAUAUGGAUAUAGAAACUGUAUUUCCACCAAAAAUUGUAAAGUAAAGAAAGAUAGGAUAACUUUAAUAUCGUUAUAUAAACCACUGAAUAUACUGGCAAACAAGCAAAUGUGAGACCUGCGUGUACUAAACGACGGCUUGGCUACAAGAGUGUCCAUUAAAAUAUUCAUAUUAGAUCAUAAACUAGCAUCCGAUAUCAAUAAGCAUCACAUUAGUGUUCCUGACAUCACUUUGACAAAUAUAAAUGAUAUCCUCACAUUAUGGAAUACUAGCAUCAAGUGAAUGAACAGUGAUCACUUUCCUAUUAAAAUCAAAUUAAUAAAUAAUGGAAAAAUUAAAGACUAUCAAUUUACAAAAGCAAAAAAUAGAAGGGGAAGCAUAAACCUAAAGAACUUCAUCCUGUCUGCCUUCUGUAGUAUAUGGAAUGAAAAGUUAGAGGAACUAGAUACGAAUCUUUCUGACUUGAAUGGAACAGAGUUAUAUAAAUGAUGAUAUAGAAAUAUAAUGAAUUGUGUGGUUCUUGCCGGUGACGGAAUACGUGAUAGAACGGGUAAAAUAAAAAUAAGAGAUGAUAAGACUAAUAGUAUUAAAAUAAUUGACAAAAAAAAGUACUCAAACAAGGAUAGGUAGAAUGAUGAGGGAAGAAGCAUUAACAAGCCAUGGUGGGAUGAAUUGUAUGAAAAAGCAGUGCAAAAUAGAAAGAAAAGUUUUAAGAAUUUCCUAAAAGAUCCAACAAGAGAAAAAUUAACUAUCUAUAGAGGAAUUUCCACGGAAACAAGAAAAAUUAUUACCAGUAGAAAAAGGGAAAAUUUUCAUAACCUCAUUGACAAAAUUGCUAGAGUGCCUGGCUCCAGAAAAUUCUGGAAUACCAUAAAAAAAUUUUUAAAUUGUUCAACCUAUAAACCAAGAACUCCUUCAGAUACAAGAAAAAUUGUUAGAUGAUUAUUAUAUCGCUAAAUUAGCGAACUAUUGGGUUCUGCCAAUGACACGUCUAAUGGCAAGAGACUAUCAAGAAUUUUUGAGCAAAAUUUUACCAUUAAAGAAAUAUCAGAGUUUAUCAACCAAAGUAAAAUUAAUGGUAGCCCGGGUAACGAUUUGUUGAGCUAUGGACUUCUUCGUUACCUUCCCGUGUCUGCUUUGGAAUUGCUUAAUGAAAGUUAUAAUGAAAAGAUCAUAGACGGUUCAUUCCCUGAACAAUGGAAAAAAUACUUGAUAGUAUUGAUACCGAAGAAUGAAAGGAUAGACUUUAGAUCCGUCUCAUUGGAAUCAUGCACUCUAAAAAUUUUCAAGAAACUAGAAAAAAUCAGACUGGAAAGAUUCGUGAAAUUAGAUGCUAUAAUACUCAAGUGCCAAUUCGGUUUCCGUAAAAGCAAAUCGUGCAAUAACUACCUUGUUAAUGAAUCUUGAAAUAUAUAAAGCUUUUUCAGAGGGUAAAAUCACAGGAGGCCUAUUUCUAGACAUUAAGGUUAUUUAUGACAACAUUGAGGUUAAAAUGCUAUUUGAUAUGAUUAACGGGUUAAGAAUUUCAAUUGGUUAUAAGUUUAUGAAGAAUUUUUUGGAACCAAGAAAAGCUACAAUCUUUGAAAAUGACAAUUAUCAGGGCACUAGAAUAAUCCAAAAAGGUGUCCUAUAAGGGUCGGUUCUAAGCCCAUUGUUGUUCAAUAUUUAUGUAGCAAACAUACUUUCGCACAAUUGCAAAAUUAUCCAAUUUGUGUAUGACAUUGCUGUUCUAGGUAUGAACAGAGAUAUAGCAGUGGAAUAUAACAUCUUACAAAAAGCUUUAUCAAAAAAAAAUAAAUAAAUGGUUGAUAGUCUUAAACCUUGAAAUAUCAAUACUGAAAACAAAUUUGUUUUUUUCCACAGAAAAAAAAGAUUAACGUUUCCAACGGUUUGCAGGUGGAAAAAGGCAAUAUUAUAGUAUCAAAUAAGAUAAAAUAUCUGAGUGUUAUCUUUGACUCUGAAUUGAGAUGGAGAGAAUAUCUAACAUCAUUAAAAAACAAAACUUAUUAUUUUAUAAAUAUUCUUAAAUAGAUUAAGAAGUUGGGGAGGGGGGGGGGUUAGUAUACAAGUUGGAAUAGAUUUCGUAAAUGGCACCGUCAGGGCACAAAUAUGCUGGGGAGCCAAUUAAUUCAACAGUUCUGCAAAGUCGUAUCUGGGACUGAUUGAUAAGAUUUUAGCAUCUGCUUACAAAAUAAUUUUGGGACUUCUGAAAUUUAUAUCUAAUAAAGUGAGUUGGCUGUUGUAGACCAUCCGCAAGAUUAGUAUCAUUAUCCUGUAUAAACUUAUGUUAAAAACCUUCCAACUAAAAAACAUAAAAUUAAUUAAUAAAAUCAGAAGUAUGCAUGAAUCAAGUUAUAAAAAGAAGACCGCUGCCCAGAAUAUAUCAUUUUUAAUUGAGCGAUGGAAGAAAGUUAUGUCCAGCCAGAAAUAAUAAUGAAAUCGACGUUAAUUCAACAUCAAAAUCAUCAAAUCGUCAUUCAAUCAACGUCGAUUCAAUGUCGAAAUCAUCGAAUCGACGUCGAUUCUAUUGUCAUUUCUGACUGGGAAUGCUUCUUCCCCCAUCUGUAUAAGUAGAUGUCCACCCCGUUUUUGUUUAUCCAGUGAACGAGGGUGGAGUUAAGAUAGAUUUUGGUUACAGAGCUGGAGGCGUAUGCUAAAGCAUCAAGUAACUAUAUGAAUAAGACAUUCAAUAGUAAAAAAUCUCACUUAAAAAAUUAAAUGCGAAUAAGAUAGCUAUCUACACGGAUGUAUCACGAGCAAAUGACGCUUCCAGGGGUCAAAACCUUGGAGACAAUAAAGCGGAUUCAGCAUGAAAGGUUGGCUGCGCAAUUUAUAUUUCCUCUAUUAACCAAGGAUAUACAUAUAAACUGAAUACACAUUCUCGUUCACGGCAGAAAUUACAGCUAUAGAAAAAUCAUUAGCUUAGGAUGGAAAUCUGUUAAUAUAUGUACAGACUCCAAAAACUCUAUGAAAACUCUGGAAUCCUGUAAGAGAGGGUAUGAUUCUCUUAGCCAUUCUGUUAAAAAUCUUUGUAAUUUAUUAAUCGGUUAUAUUUUAAAAGAAAGAAUUAAAAUUAGAUUCAUCUCGUGUUCCGCUCAUUAGGGUCACAAGGUGACAAAAAAGCAGAUAGACUAGCCAAAGAGGGUGCUUUAAGGGUAUGCGGCUGAUUAAUAAAAUUUUAUAUAAAAAAUGUAUCAAAUGCCUUAGAUAUAAUUAUUUAAAAAUAGAUUCUAACACAUUUUAACGAUAUAAGCCCUAACACAGGUAAAUAUUUCAUUAGUAACUUUAGCAAUUUCAGUAUUAAAAAUUUUAAUAAAUACAAAUGUAACAAACGUAUACUAGGAGUGUAUCUAAGAAUUAUCUCAGGUAACGCCUUUAGGAUGCAUCCCGACGAAGGAAGAAAUAGCGGAACGGAACAGUUACGGAAAAGAGAUAUGGUGAGAGAUCAGCCAAUCAGAGCAAUUCCAUUUCUGUUCUGCUCUGCUUUUUGAUGAGUGGAUUCCCCACAAGUGAAUGUUUCACGUAUUGAAACUAAAACGAAAAAAAUAACCUUAUUUUUCUGUAAAAUUCUCAUAAACAACACGUGUGCCAAGUGAGACAAAUUGAAAAAAAAAAAGUUCUUUACGACCUGUCAAUCGUAUCAUCCAGUGUUUUACGUUCAAGAAGCACGUCGUCGUUAUCAAGUAAUAAUAUAUAAAUAUAUAACAUAUGUUAAAAAUGCUGUCUCACAUGUGUACAUUUUCACGUAAAUUUAAUAAAAUUAUAUUUUAUUAACUAGGAGAAAUUUCGAUGUGAUUACUAUGGCUAGAUUAUUUGGCGUGACAAAAAUGAAACAAUAUCUCACAGUUGCUUUGCAAACUAUAAUCGCCUAAUAAUAGAUAACAGUAGAAACCUCUUUAUGGAUGACACAUUUGCAUAAGACAGAAACACUGCCAUUGAAAAAAAUAUUGCUAAUAAAGAAAAUAUUGCCAAAAAUGUUGAAAGCAUUGCCCACGAUUCAAUAGAAAAGGUAGAUGAAGAUUUAAUAGCUACGGUAAAAGAGAGACCAGCUCUGUAUGAUUAUUGAAUACCAAUAAAAGAACAAGGAAGAAAACAAAAAAAUCAUUUGUAGCAAGAAGUCAGCGACUGUUUAAAAGAAGUAUAUCACGUCUGUUUUCUUCAUCUUCCUCAGCUUCAUAUAAUUAUGAUAAAAACUCAAUUUCCAAUUUUGGACGUGAUUGAUAAGACAGCCUACGUAAUCUUGCCAACUGCGAUACAAAUCCGUCAAUAGGAUUUGGCUCAAAAGUUUUUGUCAAAGAAUUAAGAAGAGCUUCUUCGUAGCCGUCUACAUUAACUCUUUUUCUCUCUGCAAAACAAACAAGUAUAAAAAUCAAUCAUGCAUUCGCAAACAUAAAUAUGCAACUUGAAUAAUAAAAUUCUUACUUUUUGAUUGAUUUAUUUUUGAAAGUUGUGUAUUUAAUAUAUAUAUAUUAAUGUGUAAUACAAUAAUAUAAAUAUAUAAAACAUACUUAUAUAAUAUUACUUACCACAUUGACGACAAGCUCCUUAAACAUAAAAAGCUGCUGAUACGAUCGACAGAUCGUAGAGAACUCUUUUUUUUUUUUUAAUUUGUGUCUUACUUGGAACACGCAUUAUCUUCAAGAACUUUACAAAAAAAUAAGGUUAAUUUUUCCGUUUUAGUUCCGUUACGUGAAACAUUCACUAGUGGGGAACCCACUCGUCAAAAAGCGGAACGGAACAGAAACAAAAUUACUCUGAUUGGCUAAUCUAUCAUAUCUACUUUCUGUAACUGUUCAAUUCCGCUAUUUCUUCCUCGGGAUGCACCCUCACUAAUAAAAAAUAAAUAAAAAAAACAAGAUAUCGAUCAUGUAACUUUUUCCCUAGAGCAAAAAAGUGAAAAAUCAAAAAUUUCACCAUUAACUUCAAUGGCAAAAAAUCUCACUUUUCACUUUUCUGCUCUAGGAAAAAAGUUACAUAAUCAAUACCUAGGUCUAAUAAACUCUGCUAAAUGUAGCUGUGAUUACUUGUGUCAAGAUAUCAAUCACAUCUUCUGGGCUUGUCUUUUAUUGGUGAAUAAUAGAAAGAAAUUAAUAAACGAUUUAAGAAAACUUCAGGAUCCAUUAUCGGUGGAAUAUACAAUAUUUUUAAUAACCUCAACUCCAAAGUCAUAAGAAUACUGAAAAAAUUGGUAUCUGAAGUUACAAAAAAUAUUUCAAAUAUAAGUAGUUAGAUUGACUCAAGUAGGCAGUGAUAAAACAAAAUAAGUAAAACCAUCUAACUAUAAUAUAAGGAUGAAUAAUAUUAUUGCUAAGUGCUUCUUGGAAGCUUGCGUAUAUUCCCAGAUUCCUAUGGGCAGGAGCGUGGGCAUGCUAAGGAUCAAGUUAAGAAAGAAUACAAUGUGAAUAGAGGAAACAGUAAUGGGAACAUACCCGAUAUAAGAAAUACAUAACCAGGUCAAUGACCAAAGUCCUGGUUGGCUAGAGCAUACUACUAUUGAGCAUGGUACUAUUGUUUUCAAGGAAAACAGAUAUCCAUAGGAAAAGAAAAAAAAGAAAAACAACAACAACAAAGUAUUGUACGGCCGUGCGCAUUUCAGUAAUAUUAUAAGUUCCAAUAUUACCAAUCAAAAUAAUAUAAAAAAAU